rnacentral:ncRNA from 1 species
AACUCUGGAGAGUCCCGCAACGGGGUGGGAGACCUGCAUCCCCCGGCGUGGGAGCCGAAGGUGCAAAGGCGGCGAGUUUACCGCCCGGUCUCUCAGGCAAAAGGACAGAGAAA